rnacentral:rRNA from 1 species
UACAGAGGUCUCAAGCGUUGUUCGGAUUCAUUGGGCGUAAAGGGUGUGUAGGUGGCGCGCUAAGUCGGGUGUGAAAUUUCGGAGCUUAACUCCGAAACUGCAUUCGAUACUGGCGUGCUUGAGGACUGGAGAGGAGACUGGAAUUCAUGGUGUAGCAGUGAAAUGCGUAGAUAUCGUAAGGAAGACCAGUGGCGAAGGCGGGCUACUGGGCUGAUACUGACGCUGAUGCGCGAAAGCUAGGGGAGCAAACGGG